UCAACCGAAUGAUAAAGUAGGCUAACCUUUUGACAUUUUUAUCGCAAUGAAUUCUUUUAAGCUCUUACACAUACUAUUGAUACAAAUGUUUAUAUUUUUCCUGAACACGAAUUACUCAAAUGAAAAAUCAGCUAAGGAAACUUGGAAAGUGUUUUCAGAUAAAAACGCCGUAGAGUUCAGUCACUUGGCAGUAGAUGAAUAUGGAAGAUGGGUAUAUAUAGGCGCAGUAAACCAUAUUUAUCAAUUAUCAACGGAUCUCGAACUGCAAAUUGAUUACACUAUAUCGGAACUCAGUCCUUCAGAUUGCACAGCUGCCAACUGUUCGCAUAAAUUGAAACAAACAACAACGAAUAAUCAAAACAAAGUGCUAGUAUUGGACUAUCACAAUCUGCAACUGAUUUCGUGUGACACUUUUUUCUCAGGUAUCUGUCUUGCUCACGAUAUGAGUAAUAUUUCAAAAAUCUGGAAAACCAUGUUUGAACGUAUACCCGGCGGGUUACCAAAUUAUCAGGGAAUUGUAGCCUUCAUAGGUCCCAUUUUACUCAACAAUUCAUCAACACCACUAUCAACACUGUAUGUUGGUCGCAAAAAUUACUAUAAUGAUUCCAAGUCAAUACGAACAAUAUCUAUCAGAAAUCUAGAACGAGGACAUUUUUCUUCAACUCUUACACAAAAUACUGCUUUUCAUUUUACGAUAAACGAAUGUCCCUUGGAUUUCGAAGAAGAUUUAAUUUAUGGUUUCAGUUUCCAAAAUGUCGGCUAUUUCAUCACCACGAACUAUUUGUAUGAAUUGAAUAAUCGGGUAGGUGAGUAUCCAACUGGGACAGAUGCUCACAAAGACAAUUCGUGCAAUAGAGUUCCCAUAACGUGCAAAUCCGGUCCGAAUGGGACAAUUAUUACACCGCAAAUCACAAAUGUCUAUAUCCAAAAGCGAAAUCCACAUUCUGGUUCGAAAACAGAUUCACAUGAAAUGGAGGACAAAAUCUUGUUCACGCUCACACAGCAAAACCGUGACAAUACGAGGACAAAUACCUUCCACGUAUGUAGGUAUCAAAUAAAUGAAUUACAUUCCCUGUUUCAAAAGAAUCAAACGCUGGUCGGAGACCUGGUAUAUUCACAUCCACCUAGUGAAGUAUGGGUGGAAGCAAUGGUGGUUACCUCAAUUAACAAUCACACAAUCUUGUUUCUUUCUACCAGGGACAACCGGUUACAGAAAAUAUCAAUAAAAGGAAUUGAUUUGCCUGAUUUGUCCACUGGGAAUAAAUAUGCAGACAUAACGAUUGAGGCACCACACACAUCAUAUCCAGAUACAAUGCAGUUUGAUUCUACAAUGAACUUUUUAUAUGUGAUGACCAGAGAUGAACUCAUCAAAGUCAAAAUACAUAAUUGCGACGAAUAUCACACAUCGCACGCAUGUUUGAUAAUAAAAGAUCCUUAUUGUGGAUGGUGUAUUACCAGUAAAAGAUGUUGUUUGAGAUCAGAGUGUAAUGUAGAACGAAAUUGCAUCAACUGGGUCUCACAUGAUGAAUACAUAGAUCCAUAUUCAUGCCCAGCAAACAAAUUCUCAAGAACAUCGGAAUCAAAUGAAAUUUUCAAAUUGCUACCUUCGCAUCCGUUCAUCAACCAUACAACAAUAUGUUCAUUCGAAUUUGGAAAUUUUUCUAUCAAUACAACAACUAUAUGCACAAAAAAUAGCAUCAAUUGCAUAACACCUGCUCCUAAUCAUUUACCUCCGACCCCCGUCAAUAAUCAUUCCAUAGGAGCUCAGCUAUCAGUUCAGAUAAUCCAUGGCCCAGUAUUUCAAAAAAUUCGCGUCAUAUUUUACGAUUGUAGUACAUAUGAAUCAUGUUCAACCUGUAUAACUUCUCCUUAUCCGUGCAAGUGGUAUGUGAAUGAAUCAAGGUGCACAGAUAAUGCAAUUUGGAAAAAGGAUGAUAUAGUAAUAGGUAUAAAUCUUAGCACCAACAAUAAUUUCCCUCUACGGAGUAGUACAACAUCAUUAUAUGGAUUUAAAUACUCGAAAGACUCGAUGUUUUGCCCACAGUUCUUCACCAAAGAUAAUUCAGACAUUUACAUUGCUGCCCAUGCAGUAAAGAGAGAACAAAUACAAGUAAAUUAUAAGAUACCAAUGCUUUUAAAUUACGAAAGAUUCACAUGCAAAUUUGUAUUCGAUUCUAAAAAGCAGAUGAUACAAUUUGGUCAUCAGCUAGAAGGUGAUUACCCAGGAAAUGCUAUGAAAAAGGGAGAAUUGAGAUGUAAUGAUGAGAUAUUUACAUACACUGAAUUGAAACCUUUUGUAACGGUCGAACUGUCUAUUUUAUGGAACGGAUCAAAAGCACUCGACAACUUGUACAACACACAUAUUAUCGUGUAUAAAUGCGCCUAUUUGGGUGAUCAAUGCGCAACAUGUCUAAAUAAGAAUUACUCGUGUAUGUGGAAUUCAGAAACUGGAGAAUGUAUAUACGGCAGAUUAGGUGAUAAACCCACCACGACAGAUCUCUGGUUGCACGAUAUACAGCACUGUUCGAAUUCGACAAUAAUUAAAAAAGGACACCCAAGUAACCAAUCAACAAACUGGUUAACGGAAAACAUCCAUGUAAUAAUAAUCCUAAUGCUGGCAGUAACGUUUACUGGAGUCGCAGUAUCCGUUAUUUAUUCUAGAAAAUCUGCGGAAAGAUCGCGCAAGAUGCAACAACAAAUCAAUAAAAUGGGCAUGGAAAUGAUAGCUGUGUCGCAAUGCGUAAAACGUGUUGUGAUUGAAAAUGAAAUCAAGCUGGACAAAAAUGAAUUAGAUAUACUAAAAUUACCAAACGUCACCAUCGUAUACGAACCUCUGCCAACAUUGGAAGCAAAUAAACUGACACCGAGGACUGAAUAUGAAUUACUGCUGGAUGAAAAGUGGGAAAUUCCUCGAAAAAACGUUGUUCUGGGCGAAUUUCUAGGAGAAGGAGAGUUUGGAAGAGUUGUCAAAGGAAAUGUUACAGGCCACUUACAGCAACACAUCGGCACAACAGUAGCGGUGAAAAUGUUGAAAAAUGCCCACAAGGACAAAGAUUUGGUUAAUCUAGUAACCGAAAUGGAACUGAUGAAACUAAUUGGCAGACAUGACAACGUACUUAGUCUACUCGGAUGUUGUACACAAGAUGGGCCUUUGCUCAUCAUCAUCGAAUACUCUUCUCACGGAAAUUUACUCGAUUUCCUCAGAAACCACUACCAACCUUCAAAAAACAGGAAAAAUGACUUGACUGUAAAGGUUCAGUUAACAUUUGCUCUACAAAUAGCCAGAGGCAUGGAAUACUUGGCUUCUAUAAAACUAAUUCACCGGGAUCUUGCUGCUCGAAAUAUCCUGAUAUUUGACGAUUAUGUGCUGAAAAUAGCUGAUUUUGGACUAGCCAGAGAUAUUCGAAAUGCUGACUACUAUAAACAAAAGACCAAAGGUAGAUUACCGGUGAAAUGGAUGGCACCUGAAACCUUAACCCACCGACGUCAUUCCACACAAUCUGAUGUGUGGUCCUACGGCAUUCUACUUUGGGAAAUCGUGACCUAUGGGGCAGUUCCUUACGCUACCUACGACGAUGCAGAAAAACUACUGCAAGAUAUUGAGUCGGGGUACCGUAUGAAAAAACCAAAAGAUUGCUCAAUGGACACGUAUUGCCUAAUGGUGAAAUGCUGGAACCAUUUGCCAGAAAAUCGACCCGACUUUACAAGAAUCAUUCACGAUUUAGAAGCCAUAUUAAAAAAGAUGGAUGCGGUAAUUGAAGAAUCGGAUUCUGAUUGCUCAAGCAUUAGCUCAGUAUGUAGCCACAAAGCAAAUGAAACCAAUAGUUUACUGUCAGAUACUUCUUGAAAAUAUGGAAAAUAGACGGAUUUUUUUUACGAACAUUUCAGCAUAUUUUCAUGUGAAGUGGAAAUUAUUUCGAAUCGCCGUCUCGUCGCGUUGUUGGUAAAAAACAAUCAUCCAACGGAAACUGAUAUCGAAAUCACAAAUUGGAUCUAUACACCAGAAAAAUCUAACCAUCACCCCUGAUUCAUGCAAAAUUCCAUGAAAAGAUAUGAAACACGUCUACAUUUUCGCUGUGUUCUGCUAAGCUUGGUUGAAGGGCUCGUAGAAAUUUUUAUCGGAAUAAUAAAAUGAUAACGCUGCGUAAAUGCUGGAAUCAUCUGCCCAAGGAUCGACCAGACUUUACAACAAUCACUCAAGAGUUGGAUGCAAUACUAGCCACAGAUAACGUAGUAAGUGAAUAAUAAAAAUUUUCCACCAUUCUGUGAUCACAUUAUAUCUCUAUUUGUCUAGCUGAAUAAGUAGUCAAGUACUACCCAACUUCGAAAAAUUCAAUUCAUUUAUAGGGAAUGGAACAAUCCGAUCCUCAUUGCUAAACAGCACCACAGAAUCCGAUCACGAGGAAAGUGAAACAGAUAGCUUAUUACUGAAAGGUUGCUGAAAAAUUAAAGGAUAACCGCAUUCUUAUUUAAAUACCUAUGAUAUAUAAUAUGUACAAAUAUUAUUCAAGAACCUAUUUUUAUGUAAGUAUACCUACGUACUUUUUAAUUGUUGAAUAUUUAUUUUAUAUAAAUUCAUUUUGUAGUCUUAUUCAAUGUAUCUCUCAAUGGCUCAAUCUGAUUUUUAAAAAUAGGUUGUUAUUUACCUACGCAUACUCGGCAUACUUUUCUAAAUUGAAUACAGUGUUGCCAACCCUUCAAAAAAUCUUCGAAUACAGGGAUUACACUAGGCAACGGCAUAUUUGUGUUCGGGUUGAAAAUGGGCUUAAUCGAUAGUUUAGACCCUAAAACAAAAAACAGAGUAGGGUUUUUCAAUUUGAGUUGUUUUUGUAGUCAGGAGAGAUGAUCAAAGUUGCAAAAAUGACCGUUUUUGCCCUAUUUCACGAGUUUGUGGAGACAUCAGUAUUAUGUUUCAAAAAAAAACCAAGGUCAUAUUCGGAUUCUACGCACUUUUUUAAGUAAACAAUUUCACCGGAUUUUUUAUUUUCGAAGUUUCAAGCGCAUACGGAAGAUUUUCGUUUGUAACACGAGAUUUUUACUGCACGAGAGCCUCGCCCGCGCGAACACGGUUCCGAGCCACGAUUACGUGGUGGAGUAACGCCAGCGUCGCGCGCUCCGAGUUUUAAAAUAUGUUACAAACAAAAAUCUUCCGUAUGCGCUUGAAACUUUGAAAAUCAAAAAUCCGGUGAAAUUGUUUACUUAAAAAAGUGCGUAGAAUUCGAAUAUGACCUUGGUUUUUUUUGAAACAUAAUGCUGAUGUCUCCACAAACUCGUGAAAUAGGGCAAAAACGGCCAUUUUUGCAACUUUGAUCAUCUCUCCUGACUACAAAAACAACUCAAAUUGAAAAACCCCACUCUGUUUUUUGUUUUAGGGUCUAAACUAUCGAUUAAGCCCAUUUUCAACCCGAACACAAAAAAAAGUCAAAAAUUGUUGCCUAGUGUUAUUCGACAUUUUGAAAAACCGAAAAGAUUCUCCAGGGAAAUUAUUUCUUCUGGAGACUAUAGAAUUUUUCUUCAAAAUAGGAACUUUUUGAAAAUUGGGCUGGCAAAACUGAAAAUUCAUUUAUUUAUUUACUUGUUUAUAGACGACGAUUACUUCGA